UCCACCUACUGCCUCGGCCCGCCCUCCGAGCGGACGAAGGCCCGCGGACUACGUAGCCAAUGGGCUUUCCGGGGCUUGCCUCCCAGCGAAUGGGAGGGCGAUCUCUUUUAGGCCUCGACCAAUGAGGGAACAGAUGGUGUCCUCAAUUUCCAAUGGCAGCAUCUUUCCCCACACACUAACGGUGGCUCCGGGGGGGCUGGAGGGGCUGGAGGACCUAGACGCCCAGUGGGGCUGAGCCUGAAAGGGAGGAGGUAGUGCUCGUCGGUCCUGGAAGAGGUCUGGAAGGCGGUCUUCACGGCCCUCGCCACCGCCUCCUUGCGCGUCACUUCCCUCCCGGGGUCGUAAUGCAGCAAACCCUUAAACCACCCCACAUGGAAGGAUGGCUAAGAUUUUGCUGCAUGACAAAAUGGAUCAAGCCUGGGACAUGGCCUCAGACAGAGCUGGUUUGACUCCUGGCUUUUCCACUUAAUUUACUGAGUCUCGAAGUCUGCACCUAUCUAAUGAGGUUACUAACAUCAGCCCAAUAAAACUUGUGAAGAAUAAAGUUCAUGAAUAACAAACA